rnacentral:rRNA from 1 species
UACGAGGGGGGCGAGCGUUGUUCGGAAUUAUUGGGCGUAAAGGGUGCGUAGGCGGUUUGGUAAGUCUUUUGUGAAAUCUCUGGGCUCAACUCAGAGUCUGCAAGGGAAACUGCCGGGCUGGAGUGUGGGAGAGGUGAGUGGAAUUUCCGGUGUAGCGGUGAAAUGCGUAGAUAUCGGAAGGAACACCUGUGGCGAAAGCGGCUCACUGGACCACAACUGACGCUGAUGCACGAAAAGCUAGGGGGAGCAAAACAGG